rnacentral:pre_miRNA from 1 species
CUUCUACUCCCUCCGUCCGGAAAUGCUUGUUCUAGAAAUGGUUGUAUCUGGACUUGUUUUAGUUCUAAAUACAUUAAUUUUAUUUAUUUCUAGGACAAGUAUUUCCAGAUGGAGGGACUACAAU